rnacentral:rRNA from 1 species
UACGAAGGGGGCGAGCGUUGUUCGGAAUUACUGGGCGUAAAGGGCGCGCAGGCGGCGCGAGAAGUCAGGCGUGAAAGCCCCGGGCUCAACCUGGGAAUUGCGCUUGAUACUCUUGUGCUGGAGUUCGGGAGAGGAGAGUGGAAUUCCCAGUGUAGAGGUGAAAUUCGUAGAUAUUGGGAAGAACACCGGUGGCGAAGGCGGCUCUCUGGACCGAGACUGACGCUGAGGCGCGAAAGCGCGGGGAGCAAACAGG